GACGAACCGUCCAAACGUUAUUCGGAAUUACUGGGCUUAAAGGGUGCGUAGGCGGCGCGGAAAGUUGGGUGUGAAAUCCCUCGGCUUAACCGAGGAACUGCGCCCAAAACUACCGUGCUCGAGGGAGAUAGAGGUGAGCGGAACUUAGGGUGGAGCGGUGAAAUGCGUUGAUAUCCUAAGGAACACCGGUGGCGAAAGCGGCUCACUGGAUCUCUUCUGACGCUGAGGCACGAGAGCUAGGGGAGCAAACGGG
rnacentral:rRNA from 1 species